CUGCGGCAGCGACACUGUGUGUUGUUGGGUAGGGGAGCGUUCUGUAAGCCUGUGAAGGUGUGUCGUGAGGCAUGCUGGAGGUAUCAGAAGUGCGAAUGCUGACAUAAGUAACGAUAAAGCGGGUGAAAAGCCCGCUCGCCGGAAGACCAAGGGUUCCUGUCCAACGUUAAUCGGGGCAGGGUGAGUCGACCCCUAAGGCGAGGCCGAAAGGCGUAGUCGAUGGGAAACGGGUUAAUAUUCCCGUACUUGGUGUUACUGCGAAGGGGGGACGGAGAAGGCUAUGUUGGCCGGGCGACGGUUGUCCCGGUUUAAGCGUGUAGGUGUGUGUUCCAGGUAAAUCCGGUUCACUUUAACACUGAGGCGUGACGACGAGGCACUACGGUGCUGAAGCAACAAAUGCCCUGCUUCCAGGAAAAGCCUCUAAGCAUCAGGUAACAUCAAAUCGUACCCCAAACCGACACAGGUGGUCAGGUAGAGAAUACCAAGGCGCUUGAGAGAACUCGGGUGAAGGAACUAGGCAAAAUGGUGCCGUAACUUCGGGAGAAGGCACGCUGACACGUAGGUGAAGUGAUUUACUCAUGGAGCUGAAGUCAGUCGAAGAUACCAGCUGGCUGCAACUGUUUAUUAAAAACACAGCACUGUGCAAACACGAAAGUGGACGUAUACGGUGUGACGCCUGCCCGGUGCCGGAAGGUUAAUUGAUGGGGUCAGCGCAAGCGAAGCUCCUGAUCGAAGCCCCGGUAAACGGCGGCCGUAACUAUAACGGUCCUAAGGUAGCGAAAUUCCUUGUCGGGUAAGUUCCGACCUGCACGAAUGGCGUAAUGAUGGCCAGGCUGUCUCCACCCGAGACUCAGUGAAAUUGAACUCGCUGUGAAGAUGCAGUGUACCCGCGGCAAGACGGAAAGACCCCGUGAACCUUUACUAUAGCUUGACACUGAACAUUGAGCCUUGAUGUGUAGGAUAGGUGGGAGGCUUUGAAGUGUGGACGCCAGUCUGCAUGGAGCCGACCUUGAAAUACCACCCUUUAAUGUUUGAUGUUCUAACGUGGACCCGUUACCCGGGUUGCGGACAGUGUCUGGUGGGUAGUUUGACUGGGGCGGUCUCCUCC
rnacentral:rRNA from 4 species